rnacentral:rRNA from 1 species
UACGUAGGGUCCGAGGGUUGUCCGGAAUUAUUGGGCGUAAAGGGCUCGUAGGCGGUUUGUCGCGUCGGGCGUGAAAACCCCAGGCUUAACUUGGGGCUUGCUUUCGAUACGGGCAGACUAGAGGCAUGCAGGGGAGAACGGAAUUCCUGGUGUAGCGGUGAAAUGCGCAGAUAUCAGGAGGAACACCGGUGGCGAAGGCGGUUCUCUGGGCAUGUUCUGACGCUGAGGAGCGAAAGUGUGGGGAGCGAACAGG